UUAACUUCACUAAAGAGAAAUUAUACAACAAAAAUGGCGCGCGGAUACCAAUUUCAUUUCGCACCCAUUCUUCUCUAACCCAUGUCUCCUUCUCCUGCUAGUCUACCAAGAACUAUUCAGCGGAAGCCACCACGAUAGAACCCUAAUUUCUUUGCUUAAAACUAUUGUGUUCUCUCCUUCGUCAAAUCUCGUCUUUUGUUAGAAUAUUUUUAUUUGUUUUAAUCUCUUGCAAUCUAGAUGCUUGAGUUUGGCUGUGUCGUAUCUUCUAUAAUGGAUGAGCUCUCUCAUGCUUGGAGCUGGUUAGUUUAAUUUCGAUUCAUCAUUCCGAACUCGAGGAAGGUCAUCUCUGUCAGGUCAGCAAAGCCAUGUCUCAGAAAUGAUACUACCGUGAUGGCUUUUGCACCAGUAAAUGAGUGAUAAUCACCAACAGCCAUUGUCAAUGUUUGGUUACGCUUGAUUGAUCUAUUCUUGGCUUUGGCCACUAGGAUUUUCACCUGGCCUGGUUCUUCUGUUGUGUCUAAGGUUUUCAUAGCCAAUGGUAAAGAGGAUUCACAGUGCAAACGCCACAAGCCCAUGGCUGCUGAGGAAAUUGUUGACACAUGGAGCAAAGGUGCUUUUGGCUUUGAUGGAGACAUUUAAAAAGAAUAGAGGGAGAUGACUUUUGUUUGUGUAUCGAGUUUUUUAGUACACAUUUUGUUUUUUGUUUUGUUUUGUCUCCACUAUUGGUCAAUGCCUUGAAAGUGACAUUUGUAUAUAUAUAAACAUUUUAUGAUAAAUUUGUU